GCAAUAAUAAAAUAAAUUAAUAAAAUAAAAUAAAAUAUUCUUAAAUAAUUAUUUUAAAUGAUAAUAUAAAUAUUAUAAUAAAUAAAGAUCUCUCUAGAAUCGUAAUUAUCUCUCAUCACAUUUGAAAUUGUGCGCUAUAUUAGCCUUUUGCGCAUGCGUUUCCUUUAAUUUGCGACAGUACUGAUUCAAUUUGAAUAGUUCAAAUCAGUUGGAAACGAACUGCGAUAGUGACAAGUACGAAAGUAAAGAGGAUCACUUUUCAGAAACGGUUAAAAGAAACGAUUUGAAGACGAUAGUUAACCUUUAUGAUCACAUGAGGACAGAAGAGUGUGUGGAACAUUCGAGAAAUUGAAGCAAAAAAAAAGAAAGUAAAAAACGUAAACAAUUAGCGGUUGUUGAAGAGAGAGCUGUAUUAGAGAAAAAGUCAGCAAUAUAAACAAAUCGUAAACGGGACAUACGAAAGGUAACGCGAAGGUAAAAAUAAUAAUAAUUACCAACGGUAAUAGUCGAUAAAGAAGAAUCAAGAAUCAUAGGUAAGUUUAUUUCAGUCAAUUAAUGGUGCAAAUA